CAAUUCCUACGGGAGGCAGCAGUGGGGAAUAUUGGACAAUGGGGGGAACCCUGAUCCAGCGACGCCGCGUGAGUGAAGAAGUAUUUCGGUAUGUAAAGCUCUAUCAGCAGGGAAGAAAGAAAUGACGGUACCUGACUAAGAAGCCCCGGCUAACUACGUGCCAGCAGCCGCGGUAAUACGUAGGGGGCAAGCGUUAUCCGGAUUUACUGGGUGUAAAGGGAGCGUAGACGGCAAUGCAAGUCUGGAGUGAAAGGCGGGGGCCCAACCCCCGGACUGCUCUGGAAACUGUAUAGCUGGAGUGCAGG
rnacentral:rRNA from 1 species